rnacentral:tRNA from 1 species
GGGAGUAGAUGGGUGCUGGUGUGCCCUCUGGUCUUCAAAACCAGCGCGGGGGGUUAGGAGCUUCCUGGGUGGGUUCGAUUCCCACAUAUUCCCGCCA